UGGACAGGGGGGUCUCCGUCGCCAUCGGCGGGGCCUGUCCAGCAGGUUGCGCGGGAGCGCGGCCAGUGGUUGUCGCUCGGGGGUGAUCGCCA
rnacentral:sRNA from 1 species